CUGCUAUACACAGUGCAGCCAGGGGACCCUGGCCCGGAGAGGCAGGGCCAAGCCUGAGGUCACCUGGCAGGACCUGCUACCAGGCCAGUAGCCCCACCCUGCCCCUGCCUCCCCUGCCCACUCACCCAGUCCCACCUCAGCCCUAGACAGCUCCGAACAAGCUUCUGGAGGGCCCCUAGCCUGACAGACUCUUUCCACCGCCACACCUUUGCUCACGCUGUGCCCCUGCACUCUUCCCCCCACGCUCACCCCCUGCUGCUUCAUCCAGGCACAGCUUGCCCCUGAAAGAGGGACGAUCCAGCCAAGACGAGAGGAUUCCGGGAAGUUGGGGGUGUUACAGAGUUGGUGGGGGGGACCCCACUGACAUGCGACAGACUCGGUGCAGGGUACAUCACGUGCUUUCUCGCGGGACACCCUACAAGGGUUGAUAUCAACUUGAAGCUGCUACGACCAUCUUGGUACCACGAAGGGAGUGACGUUUACACCACAAAGGAGUGACGUCUACACCAAGGAAAGACUGACAGACAGACGGAGAGAAACAGAUUCCUGAAGGUAUCCGCUGAAUACCUGGAACCAGCUAUGCCUGAAGCUAACCCUCAGGUUAUGUGAGGCAGUGACUUCUCUUUGAUGCUGAAGCCGGUUGCAGUUGAGUUUCUGUUUAUGACUCAGAGUGCACAUGAACACGGUCAGUGCCUCUCGCCAGUCUGGGACAUGCCCGGGGCCCCGGGCCCCGCUGCAGACAUACAGGAGCCCGCAUAUGUCCCUGUGGACGUGGAUCCCAGUCUUGCCCUCUCUGGAAGUCUUUUCCCACAGCCAAUACUCCCACCCCAGCUGUGGGGCCUUGGGCAGUUCCCUCCUCCCAACUGUAUGUUCUCUGUGCACCCCCAACCCUCCCCCACACACACGGUUACCCCCUCCUGCCUCGGAUGCUCUAACAGCCACCUCUGCCCGCCUCCCUCAGCAGCCCAGCAGGGUGCCGCACAAAUCACCACCCGGGAUCUGGAUGGAUUCUCACGGCUGCCCACCCACUGGGCCCCCUGAGACCUGGCUCUGCCCCAGAGUGCACACCUCUGCUGUGGCUGGGGACAGCCCCUUAUUUGCCCCACAUGCCCCUUACCUUUUUUAGAUGUUUAUUGCCAGCUUUCGAACGGCAGAUUUCGUACUAAAACAUGAUCUUUGCCACUUA